rnacentral:rRNA from 1 species
CCUACGGGAGGCAGCAGUGGGGGAUAUUGCACAAUGGGGGGAACCCUGAUGCAGCGACGCCGCGUGGGUGAAGGAGCGUUUCGGCGCGUAAAGCCCUAUCGGCAGGGAAGAAGGAGGACGGUACCUGACUAAGAAGCCCCGGCGAACUACGUGCCAGCAGCCGCGGUAAGACGUAGGGGGCAAGCGUUAUCCGGAUUUACUGGGUGUAAAGGGGGGGCAGACGGGAGCGCAAGCCAGGAGUGAAAGCCCGGGGCCCAACCCCGGGACUGCUCUUGGAACUGCGCGGCUGGAGUGCAGGGAGGGCAGGUGGAAUUCUUGGUGUAGGGGUAAAAUCCGUAGAGAUCAAGAGGAAUACUCAUUGCGAAGGCGACCUGCUGGAACAUUACUGACGCUGAUGCACGAAAGCGUGGGGAGCAAACAGGAUUAGAUACCCUGGUAGUC